rnacentral:misc_RNA from 1 species
GGAUGAAGAACGUAGUGAAAUGCGAUAAGUAAUGUGAAUUGCAGAAUUCAGUGAAUCAUCGAAUCUUUGAACGCACAUUGCGCCCGCCAGUAUUCUGGCGGGCAUGCCUGUCUGAGCGUCAUUUCAACCCUCAGCCCCCGCUCGCGGGGCGCUGGCGUUGGGGAUCGGCCGUCCUCGCGGCGGCCGGCCCCGAAACACAGUGGCGGUCUCUCGCGGACUCCCCUGCGUAGUAGCACUACCUCGCAGAAGGGACGAGCGGGCUGACCACGCCGUAAAACCCCCCACUUCUCCAGGUUGACCUCAGAUCAGGUAGGAAUACCCGCUGAACUUAAGCAUAUCAUAAGCGGAGGA